CCUACGGGAGGCAGCAGUGGGGAAUAUUGCACAAUGGGGGAAACCCUGAUGCAGCGACGCCGCGUGAGUGAAGAAGUAUUUCGGUUUGUAAAGCUCUAUCAGCAGGGAAGAAGCAAGACGGUACCUGACUAAGAAGCCCCGGCUAACUACGUGCCAGCAGCCGCGGUAAUACGUAGGGGGCAAGCGUUAUCCGGAUUUACUGGGUGGAAAGGGAGCGUAGACGGUAUGGCAAGUCUGAAGUGAAAUCCCAGGGCUUAACCCUGGGACUGCUUUGGAAACUGUUAGACUAGAGUGCUGGAGAGGUAAGUGGAAUUCCUAGUGUAGAGGUGAAAUGCGUAGAGAUUAGGAGGAACACCAGUGGCGAAGGCGGCUUGCUGGACAGUAACUGACGUUGAGGCUCGAAAGCGUGGGGAGCAAACAGGAUUAGAUACCCGAGUAGUC
rnacentral:rRNA from 1 species